CAGCAGCCGCGGUAAUACGAACCGUGCGAACGUUAUUCGGAAUCACUGGGCUUAAAGCGCGUGUAGGCGGGCCGCCACGUCGGCUGCUGAAAUCCCCCGGCUCAACCGGGGAAGUGGCACCGAUACGAGCGGCCUCGAGGGGGGUAGGGGGGCCUGGAACUUCCGGUGGAGCGGUGAAAUGCGUUGAGAUCGGAAGGAACGCCCGUGGCGAAAGCGAGUCCCUGGACCCUUUCUGACGCUGAGACGCGAAAGCCAGGGGAGCGAACGGGAUUAGAUACCCGCGUAGUCCCUGUCUCUUAUA
rnacentral:rRNA from 1 species